rnacentral:rRNA from 1 species
GGAGUUAGCCGGUGCUUCUUCUGUGAGUGAUGUCCUUCCUGCCGGCUAUUAACCCGCAGGCCUUCUUCCUCACUGAAAGUGCUUUACAACCCGAAGGCCUUCUUCACACACGCGGCAUGGCUGGAUCAGGGUUGCCCCCAUUGUCCAAUAUUCCCCACUGCUGCCUCCCGUAGGAGUCUGGGCCGUGUCUCAGUCCCAGUGUGGCUGAUCAUCCUCUCAGACCAGCUACGGAUCGUCGCCUUGGUGAGCCGUUACCUCACCAACCAGCUAAUCCGACAUAGGCUCAUCCGAUAGCGCGAGGCCCGAAGGUCCCCCGCUUUCCCCCGUAGGGCGUAUGCGGUAUUAGCCUGGGUUUCCCCAGGUUAUCCCCCACUACCGGGCAGAUUCCUAUGCAUUACUCACCCGUCCGCCGCUCGCCACCAGGGAGCAAGCUCCCCGUGCUGCCGCUCGACUUGCAUGUGUUAGGCCUGCCGCCAGCGUUCAAUCUGAGCCAUAAUCAAACUACUGACUGAGCGGCGUGCGAGCGC